rnacentral:rRNA from 1 species
UACGGAGGAUGCAAGCGUUAUCCGGAAUGAUUGGGCGUAAAGCGUCCGCAGGUGGCUAUGUAAGUCUGCUGUUAAAGAGUCUGGCUCAACCAGAUAAAGGCAGUGGAAACUACAUGGCUAGAGUGCGUUCGGGGCAGAGGGAAUUCCUGGUGUAGCGGUGAAAUGCGUAGAGAUCAGGAAGAACACCGGUGGCGAAAGCGCUCUGCUAGGCCGCAACUGA